GGGCACCCUAAAGGGGUGCUACCUGAUAACACAGGAAAUUGCCCUCUGAUAUCUUCUCCCCUCUGCAUUUUUCCUGUGUUUUCAGGUCACCCCUUCGGGGUACCC
rnacentral:pre_miRNA from 1 species